rnacentral:tRNA from 1 species
UUUCUGGUGGUCUAGUGGCUAAGACUGCAUUUCCAAUGCAGGGGACUCAGGUUCAAUCCCUGAUCAGGGAA